rnacentral:rRNA from 1 species
UACGGGGGGGGCAAGCGUUGUUCGGAAUUACUGGGCGUAAAGGGCUCGUAGGCGGCCAACUAAGUCAGGGGUGAAAUCCUGGAGCUCAACUCCAGAACUGCCUUUGAUACUGGCGACCUUGAGUCCGGGAGAGGUGAGUGGAACUGCGAGUGUAGAGGUGAAAUUCGUAGAUAUUCGCAAGAACACCAGUGGCGAAGGCGGCUCACUGGCCCGGUACUGACGCUGAGGUGCGAAAGCGUGGGGAGCAAACAGG